AGGAAGACAACCCAAAAAAACUGUUUAUAAAAGACUGGAUAUUGUGGAUGUAAAGCCAUAUUGGUCUUAACCUGUUUCAGGAACUGAAAUGGCCCCAUCUGUUGUUCACAGAGCUGAUCAUCUUUGAAAAAUCUAAUACAUCCUACCUUAUCUGUUGGACAUAUUAAUUUUAAAUGAUUUUUAGGGUCCAUUUAAUUUGUAUUUGAAUUCAGCUUUAAUUUAAACUGAUUGUUUAGUUUCUGUAAAUUAUAUUUAAAUAAGGAUUUCAAGAUGAAGAGACACUGCAUAGCCAGCCAGCAUCACAAACCUUCAAAGCAAUAUUUCUGUGGCUGCUGCUGUCAUCACCACAGCAUUUCCUAGCCACCAACCCAGUCACUUAAGCUUAAUGUGUGCUGCAAUGACUUUUAGAACCUCCUCUGGCUGGUCAUUUUCUAAUUAAAGUAAGGUGGGACAUUCAUGUGUUGAAUCAUUUUGUUAGGUACACCAAUUCCUAGCAGAUUAUGACUAACACUUAUAAGCCUUUGCACAUCCCUCUUUAAAAAAAAAAAAA